rnacentral:lncRNA from 1 species
UGGAGGGAGAAAGGAAUGGGCUGAGAGCUGAACUUGCCAAAGAAAAGGAGAAAAAUGAAGGCUUGCUCCAGCAAAUGUUAAAUCUGCUACAAGCCCAACCCUCCAGCACUUCCAAGCCUUAGGUGUCAUGUCCUUAGUGUCCAGUCUAGUCACCCUUCUGUUUCCAAUUUCCAAGUUUAGGAAGUUCUUGUUCUGUUCUUAUUCUAUUUUUUGCUCAUGGUUGGAUAUUUUGUCUUUCUUGUUUGUUGAUUGCAUUGUAGAAACACCCCUUUGAUCAAUGAAUGCAGCUUUUUUGAUUCUUGUUGAAUUUAUUCUAAAUAGUUAUUUUUAAGUUGAUUUGUGAUUAACUUGACUAUGUGUUCACUUGCAGUUGCCCCAGCGGCCAUGAGUAUUAAUUAACUUCGAGGAUUCAUAGUAUUUAUGCAACUUUUUGAUGAUGCCAAAAGGGGGAAGAUAUUGUGCUUAAAAUUCAUUAUCUGAACUAGUGAUGUUUAUGACCUAAAUCUGACCUCCUUGAUGAUAAGUUACAAUUUUCUAAGUGUUGAUUUUCAGCUGAGUUCACAGAUUUUCUGAUCACAAUAAGCACAGAGUUUGUCAUUAUAAAAAUGGGAAAAUUGUUGGCCCAAGUUUCAGUUGGAGUUUUGAAGAUUGACACUAUGGAAGGACCUGGUCCAUCUUUUACUGCACAGUCUGAAUUAACCAGUGCAUAUGUGAAGCACGGGAGGAAGAUAUGCACUAAAGAUCACGCAUCAAUAUCUUCUGAACGUAAUCGAAAAGGUUGCAUUUGGGAUAAGGAGGACAGUCUCCUUAUGUGAAGAGAACUUGAUUCUAAGUUAGGAAGAGUUGGAGUUUGUAUUGGCUAAGGACUUAAAUGGACUACGGAUAAGAAGUGUAGUUGUAAUCAAACUCUAGCUACUAACUCAAUAUAUUAUUGUGUUGGUUCUCUUUUACAGGUAACACACACAACCAGAAGUAAAGAAUAUUUGAGAGCAAAUAAAGUAAGUCUGGUUUGCAAGCAAUAUAUACAAGAUAUAAGUGUGUACGCCUGAAGCUACAUGAACUAACAGAGAAGAACCAGUUCCAUUUGUG